CCAUAUAGCGUGGAAACGCCAGUUCCCGUACGGUCACUAACGUUAAGCAAUGUCGAGCCUUGUCAGUUGAUAGAUGGGUGACUGCAUGGGAAUAUCAGGUGCUGUAAG